GAGGGUAUAGCUCAAACGGUAGAGCCCACGCUUAGCAUCCAUGAGGUCCUGGGUUAAAUCCCUAGCAUCUUCU
rnacentral:tRNA from 1 species